rnacentral:rRNA from 1 species
UACGUAGGGCGCAAGCGUUGUCCGGAAUUAUUGGGCGUAAAGAGCUCGUAGGCGGUUUGUCGCGUCUGCUGUGAAAACUCGAGGCUCAACCUCGGGCUUGCAGUGGGUACGGGCAGACUAGAGUGCGGUAGGGGUGACUGGAAUUCCUGGUGUAGCGGUGAAAUGCGCAGAUAUCAGGAGGAACACCGGUGGCGAAGGCGGGUCUCUGGGCCGAUACUGACGCUGAGGAGCGAAAGCGUGGGGAGCAAACAGG